rnacentral:rRNA from 1 species
UACGUAGGGUGCAAGCGUUGUCCGGAAUCAUUGGGCGUAAAGAGCUCGUAGGCGGUCUGUCGCGUCUGCUGUGAAAACCUGGGGCUUAACCCCGGGCUUGCAGUGGGUACGGGCAGACUAGAGUGCGGUAGGGGAGACUGGAAUUCCUGGUGUAGCGGUGAAAUGCGCAGAUAUCAGGAGGAACACCGGUGGCGAAGGCGGGUCUCUGGGCCGAUACUGACGCUGAGGAGCGAAAGCAUGGGUAGCGAACAGG